rnacentral:rRNA from 1 species
GACGAACGCUGGCGGCGUGCUUUACACAUGCAAGUCGAACGGUGAAGGUGGAGCUUGCUCCGCCGGAUCAGUGGCGAACGGGUGAGCAACACGUGGGCAACCUGCCCCUAACUUUGGGAUAACUACUCGAAAGAGUAGCUAAUACCGGAUACGAAGUCUGUAGGCAUCUACGGAUUUGGAAAGUUUUUCGGUUAGGGAUGGGCCCGCGGCCUAUCAGCUUGUUGGUGAGGUAGUGGCUCACCAAGGCGACGACGGGUAGCCGGCCUGAGAGGGCGACCGGCCACACUGGGACUGAGACACGGCCCAGACUCCUACGGGAGGCAGCAGUGGGGAAUAUUGCGCAAUGGGCGAAAGCCUGACUCAGCAACGCCGCGUGCGGGAUGAAGGCCUUCGGGUUGUAAACCGCUUUCAGCAGGGAAGAAGCGAAAGUGACGGUACCUGCAGAAGAAGCACCGGCUAACUACGUGCCAGCCGCCGCCGUAA